CCCUUCCCUAAUGUAUCUCUUCUAGCGCUUCCUGAUGAAUCCUCUUUCAACAACUCCUUUCUUCUCCCCAACCAGCAAGCAUCGUCGACCCCAUUUGUCCUCUUCCACCCACCGAUCGAAGCUCCUUCCUCAUCUCAUAGUGUCAGAAUUUCAUGUAGCGGCAUGGAUCGGGCGAGGUUCAUAGUUGCAGGCUUUCAUGUAGCGGCAUAGAUCUGAUGAGAUUCACAGUUCCAGGAUUUCACGUAACAACAUGGGUCUGAUGAGAUUCACAGUUGCAUGUUUCCAUGUAGCGGCAUGAAUUUGAUGAGAUUUAUGGUGGCAGGCUUGCGUGAAGCAACAUGGGCUUAAUGAGGAAGUAGGGUAUCAGGCAACAGUGAUUCAACAUCGGGAUGGACAUGGUUCCUACUAGCCUCCGAUUGAUUUGUUUUUCCAUGGCCCUAUGUGCUAGGAUCAUUUUUGUUAGGACUUUAUGUGAUAAAGUCUCUACAAAACAAAGUAAAAUUCCUUAAUAAUAAAUCAAAGUUGAGUUAAAAACUCAUGUAACUCAUGAGUCUUCAGACUUACAUAGUUUGUGCUAUGUACUUAGGUGUGGAAGCGGAAGAGAAGAGCGAAGAUAGUGAAAAUGACUAAAGGAAACAAAGAAGGUUUAGUAAUCCUUUCAACUUACACUAUAUUUGUUGAUAUUGAUUGUAACAUUGAAAAGUUAUAAACUCUGAUAAUUGUUGAAAAACUUUUGUAGAAACACAUUUUUAUCAAUAUAAAAUGGUGUUUAAAAA